GAGGGGCAGCGAGAUCAGUGCUUGCACUGAUUGUCGGCGACCGGCGCACGGGUGCGUAACGCGUAUGCAACCUACCCAUUACAGGGGGAUAACACUGAGAAAUCGGUACUAAUACCCCAUAACAUCCAGGGAGGCAUCUUCUUGGGUUGAAAACUCCGGUGGUAAUGGAUGGGCAUGCGUUGUAUUAGUUAGUUGGUGGGGUAACGGCUCACCAAGACAACGAUACAUAGGGGGACUGAGAGGUUAACCCCCCACAUUGGUACUGAGACACGGACCAAACUCCUACGGGAGGCAGCAGUGAGGAAUAUUGGUCAAUGGACGCAAGUCUGAACCAGCCAUGCCGCGUGCAGGAAGACGGCUCUAUGAGUUGUAAACUGCUUUUGUACGAGGGUAAACGCAGAUACGUGUAUCUGUCUGAAAGUAUCGUACGAAUAAGGAUCGGCUAACUCCGUGCCAGCAGCCGCGGUAAUACGGAGGAUUCAAGCGUUAUCCGGAUUUAUUGGGUUUAAAGGGUGCGUAGGCGGUCGGAUAAGUUAGAGGUGAAAUCCCGAGGCUCAACUUCGGAAUUGCCUCUGAUACUGUUCGGCUAGAGAGUAGCUGCGGUAGGCGGAAUGUAUGGUGUAGCGGUGAAAUGCUUAGAGAUCAUACAGAACACCGAUUGCGAAGGCAGCUUACCAAGCUACUUCUGACGUUGAGGCACGAAAGCGUGGGGAGCAAACAGGAUUAGAUACCCUGGUAGUCCACGCAGUAAACGAUGAUAACUCGUUGUCGGCGAUACAAUGUCGGUGACUAAGCGAAAGCGAUAAGUUAUCCACCUGGGGAGUACGUUCGCAAGAAUGAAACUCAAAGGAAUUGACGGGGGCCCGCACAAGCGGAGGAACAUGUGGUUUAAUUCGAUGAUACGCGAGGAACCUUACCCGGGCUUGAAAGUUAGUGACGGAUCUUGAAAGAGGUCUUCCUUUCGGGGCACGAAACUAGGUGCUGCAUGGUUGUCGUCAGCUCGUGCCGUGAGGUGUCGGGUUAAGUCCCAUAACGAGCGCAACCCCUACCGUUAGUUGCCAGCAGGUCAAGCUGGGCACUCUGACGGGACUGCCGGUGUAAGCCGAGAGGAAGGUGGGGAUGACGUCAAAUCAGCACGGCCCUUACGUCCGGGGCUACACACGUGUUACAAUGGCAGGUACAGAGGGCAGCUACCCAGCGAUGGGAUGCGAAUCUCGAAAGCCUGUCUCAGUUCGGAUUGGAGGCUGAAACCCGCCUCCAUGAAGUUGGAUUCGCUAGUAAUCGCGCAUCAGCCAUGGCGCGGUGAAUACGUUCCCGGGC
rnacentral:rRNA from 1 species